AGUAGUUUGAUCCUGGCUCAAGAAUCAACGCUGGCGGCGUGCCUCAGACAUGCAAGUCGAACGAUUAAAGCUCUCUUCGGAGAGUGUAUAGAGUGGCGCACGGGUGAGUAACACGUAAGUAAUCUACCCUCGAGUGGGGAAUAACAACCGGAAACGGUUGCUAAUACCGCAUAAUGCAGCGGCACCGCAAGGUGACAGUUGUUAAAGAUUUAUCGCUUGAGGAGGAGCUUGCGGCAGAUUAGCUAGUUGUAGGGUAACGGCUUACCAAGGCUACGAUCUGUAACCGGUCUAAGAGGACGGUCGGUCACACUGACACUGAAUAACGGGUCAGACUCCUACGGGAGGCAGCAGUCGGGAAUUUUGGGCAAUGGGCGAAAGCCUGACCCAGCAACGCCGCGUGAAGGAUGAAGUAUUUCGGUAUGUAAACUUCGAAAGAAUAGGAAGAAUUAAUGACGGUACUAUUUAUAAGGUCCGGCUAACUACGUG
rnacentral:rRNA from 1 species